rnacentral:rRNA from 1 species
GACGAACGCUGGCGGCGUGCUUAACACAUGCAAGUCGAACGGAAAGGCCCUGCUUUUGUGGGGUGCUCGAGUGGCGAACGGGUGAGUAACACGUGAGUAACCUGCCCUUGACUUUGGGAUAACUUCAGGAAACUGGGGCUAAUACCGGAUAGGAGCUCCUGCUGCAUGGUGGGGGUUGGAAAGUUUCGGCGGUUGGGGAUGGACUCGCGGCUUAUCAGCUUGUUGGUGGGGUAGUGGCUUACCAAGGCUUUGACGGGUAGCCGGCCUGAGAGGGUGACCGGCCACAUUGGGACUGAGAUACGGCCCAGUCUCCUACGGGAGGCAGCAGUGGGGAAUAUUGCACAAUGGGCGGAAGCCUGAUGCAGCAACGCCGCGUGCGGGAUGACGGCCUUCGGGUUGUAAACCGCUUUCGCCUGUGACGAAGCGUGAGUGACGGUAAUGAGUAAAGAAGCACCGGCUAACUACGUG